CUUGCCGAGGUCGGCCUCGUGUGUGGAAGUCAUGGCUGUUCCCGUGCGUGCAGAACCCGGCCUUCUUUUGGCAUCUGCAAAGACGAUGAGCUUAAAAGUAAUGGACGUAGACAUAGAAGGUCCCCAAGGAAGCAGACAUGGUGUAAUGAUCUGGCUUAUAUUUUGUUCUGAAGUUUAACUGCACGUAUGCAUGCUGUUCUAAGUCCAUUUAGGAUUGAAGGUGCUGGCUGUGGACUUUGAAGGAAGUCGUGUGAAAACUCAUCAUCUUAAGAUGCUGAGCCGAAGGAUCUUCAUGAUAAAACUUCUGUGAAUGGUAAGAUUUUUAGCCAUUUCAUAGGAUUGCAUAGAUUAUGGUCCCCCUUGAGUAAUGGUUUGUGAGAUUUGGGGAUGCGGGAGUCCCCCCCCUAAGUUUAUUGGUACAUUUUACGUAUACAAUACAGUUACAUUCGUCAUUGUCAUUGGGAUGUUGUGCCAUUAACGUGACAUCUUGGUUCUUAUUUUUUCUCCAUCCCCCUUCCCUCCCUUCACUCCCGCCCCCCCGU